GAUGAACGCUGGCGGCGUGCCUAAUACAUGCAAGUCGAGCGAACGGACGAGAAGCUUGCUUCUCUGAUGUUAGCGGCGGACGGGUGAGUAACACGUGGAUAACCUACCUAUAAGACUGGGAUAACUUCGGGAAACCGGAGCUAAUACCGGAUAAUAUUUUGAACCGCAUGGUUCAAAAGUGAAAGACGGUCUUGCUGUCACUAUAAGAGGAACCGCGCUGCAUUAGCUAGUUGGUAAGGUAACGGCUUACCAAGGCAACGAUGCAUAGCCGACCUGAGAGGGUGAUCGGCCACACUGGAACUGAGACACGGUCCAGACUCCUACGGGAGGCAGCAGUAGGGAAUCUUCCGCAAUGGGCGAAAGCCUGACGGAGCAACGCCGCGUGAGUGAUGAAGGUCUUCGGAUCGUAAAACUCUGUUAUUAGGGAAGAACAUAUGUGUAAGUAACUGUGCACAUCUUGACGGUACCUAAUCAGAAAGCCACGGCUAACUACGUG
rnacentral:rRNA from 1 species